GAUGAACGCUGGCGGCGUGCCUAACACAUGCAAGUCGAGCGAACCGAUGGGGAGCUUGCUCCUACGACGUUAGCGGCGGACGGGUGCGUCACACGUGGAUGACCUACCUCUACGACUGGGAUAACUACGGGAAACAGGAGCUAAUACCGGAUGAUAUAUUGCACCGCGUUGUUCAAUAGUGAAAGUAGGUUUUGCUGACACUUAUAGAUGACUCCGCGCCGCAUCAGCUAGUUGGUAAGGUAGCGGCUUACCAAGGCAACGAUGCGUAGCCGCCCUCAGAGGGUGGUCGGACAGCCUGGAACAGAGACAGGUCCCAGACUCUUGCGCGAGGCAGCAGCAGAGAAUCCUCCGCGAGGCGCGAGUGCCGGACAGAGCAAAGUCGCGUGAGUGAUGAUGGUGUUCUGAUCGGUGAGCGCUGUUAGUAGGAGAGUACAAAUGUUUAAUUAACCGUGCUGAUCUUGACGGUACCGGAACAAUAAGCCACGGCUAACUACGUG
rnacentral:rRNA from 1 species